rnacentral:rRNA from 1 species
GACGAACCGUGCGAACGUUAUUCGGAAUCACUGGGCUUAAAGGGCGCGUAGGCGGGCUGACAAAUCUGGGGUGAAAUACCACGGCUCAACCGUGGAACUGCCUUAGAUACUGUCGGCCUCGAGGGAGGUAGGGGCGUGCGGAACUGUAGGUGGAGCGGUGAAAUGCGUUGAUAUCUACAGGAACUCCGGUGGCGAAAGCGGCGCGCUGGACCUCUUCUGACGCUGAGGCGCGAAAGCUAGGGGAGCAAACGGG